AUUCCACAGAGUCCUUAUGGCAGCUGGCUUCAGUUUUCCAUCUGGCAGAGUCCUGGUGAGCUCCAGAUCUCUUCGGGGAUUAAGAGUAAAUAGACAUUUCAUUAUCCAACAGAAAACUUCGUUACUUUAUAAAUGAGAUGACAUCACGCAAGACAAGCGACCAUUGCAGGACUGUCCA
rnacentral:lncRNA from 1 species